UACAGAGGGUGCGAGCGUUAAUCGGAAUUACUGGGCGUAAAGAGUGCGUAGGUGGUUAAAUAAGUCAGGUGUGAAAUCCCGGAGCUCAACUCCGGAACUGCGCUUGAGACUGUUUGACUAGAGUAUUGUAGAGGAAAGUAGAAUUUCCGGUGUAGCGGUGAAAUGCGUAGAUAUCGGAAGGAAUACCAGUGGCGAAGGCGACUUUCUGGACAAAUACUGACGCUGAGGCACGAAAGCGUGGGGAGCAAACAGG
rnacentral:misc_RNA from 1 species